rnacentral:rRNA from 1 species
ACGGGAGGCAGCAGUGGGGAAUAUUGCACAAUGGGGGAGACCCUGAUGCAGCGAUGCCGCGUGGAGGAAGAAGGUUUUCGGAUUGUAAACUCCUGUCUUAAAGGACGAUAAUGACGGUACUUUGGGAGGAAGCUCCGGCUAACUACGUGCCAGCAGCCGCGGUAAUACGUAGGGAGCGAGCGUUGUCCGGAAUUACUGGGUGUAAAGGGAGCGUAGGCGGGAUUGCAAAUCAGAUGUGAAAUAUACGGGCUCAACCUGUAGACUGCAUUUGAAACUGUAGUUCUUGAGUGAAGUAGAGGCAAGCGGAAUUCCUGGUGUAGCGGUGAAAUGCGUAGAUAUCAGGAGGAACACCGGUGGCGAAGGCGGCUUGCUGGGCUUUUACUGACGCUGAGGCUCGAAAGCGUGGGGAGCAAACAGGAUUAGAUACCCUGUA